GCAUUUGUGGUUCAGUGAUAGAAUUCUUGCUUUCCAUGUAGGAGACCUGGUUCGAUUCCUGGCAAAUGUA
rnacentral:tRNA from 1 species